GGAGAGUUGUCCGAGUGGUCGAUGGUGGUUGACUUGAAAUCAACUAGGUGUAACAGCCUCGGGGGUUCGAAUCCUCCACUCUCCGCCA
rnacentral:tRNA from 1 species